CGGGAGUGACUUAGCGGCGGACGGGUGAGCAACGCGUGGGUAACCUGCCCCAUACCGGGGGAUAACGGUUAGAAAUGACCGCUAAUACCGCGUAAGCGCGCGAGGCCGCAUGGCCCCGGGCGAAAAACUCCGGUGGUAUGGGAUGGGCCCGCGUCUGAUUAGCUAGUUGGCGGGGUAAAGGCCCACCAAGGCGACGAUCAGUAGCCGACCUGAGAGGGUGGCCGGCCACAUUGGGACUGAGACACGGCCCAAACUCCUACGGGAGGCAGCAG
rnacentral:rRNA from 1 species